GAUGAACGCUAGCUAUAGGCUUAACACAUGCAAGUCGGAGGGGCAGACGAAUAGAUAGCUUGCUAUUUAUGUCGGCGACCGGCGCACGGGUGAGUAACGCGUAUCCAACCUGCCCAUAACUAAGGGAUAACCCAGCGAAAGUUGGACUAAUACCUUAUGUAUUCGUUUGAUCUCAUGAGAUUACGAAUAAAGAUUUAUCGGUUAUGGAUGGGGAUGCGUCUGAUUAGCUUGUUGGCGGGGUAACGGCCCACCAAGGCAACGAUCAGUAGGGGUUCUGAGAGGAAGGUCCCCCACAUUGGAACUGAGACACGGUCCAA
rnacentral:rRNA from 1 species